CAAAAUUCAACAUUUUCAUAUUUUGAGGAGCUUCAGUACGUUUGCUCACCGAUGAACUAGAAGUUGUUUUGUGUACUGCAUGAUUGAGGAAGUGCUAUUGCAGAUCAAAGGUGAGCCUAUUCUAUUUUCUUUCUUCAAGCUCAGGUGAAGGUUUAUCUCCUCUUCACUAAUGUUAAAUCUUUAUCACCGCAUUGAUUAGUUGGUAGAAGCAUCUGCUGGGAAUCAAGUGUUACAUGGCUGUGGGUGACAAGGUAUGCUAAGGCCAUCUGCUUUAUUGUGACUUAAGAGACUACAAUACUCUAGGGUAUCCUAAGGUUUUAUUUCAAUUAUACGAUGAGCAUGGGUCCCAUAACAUACUCAAAUAGUUAGAAAAUCUGAAACACCUCUUAAUUUGUUCGCUAGCAGUAUGAAUUAGAGUUGGGUACUUUUAGCUGUUGUGGGAUGAGAAUAUACAUAUAAUUGUUGAUGCUUUUGUGUUCAUUUAUACUAAGAAGACUAGGCCCGUCAGGGUAUGAUUUACCUGGGUUUUUUGGAUUUUUUUACUGCCUCUAAUGAUUUACGCGUGUUACCAGGGACGCACAAGAACUACUUACGUGUGAACGUAAUGAUCUUCUCUGUUCUCUCUAGAGCGUUCGUGACCUCCACCUCUUUGACCGCCCACCGCUUUGACUGGGCUAUCUCUGUCUCUCCCAAAAAUUCUGGUUCAAUCCCGUGUCGUGGCUCUACCGAUCUAUGUGCGUAUAAAAAGCCCCCCGUGGCGUGGGUCUCUCCAGUCACGGCUGUGCCCAAACCGCUCCUCACCAAUAGACCCAUCUCUCCUGAUACUGCCCUCUAGCCUCCACCCGAGAUACCACGGCGCGCUACGUCGCCGCUCCGGCUGGCCGGCCGAGAGGUGCGUGCAGGCAACAACAUGAAUCAGGAGAGCUGCGUACCAUCGCCUCCUCAUGGAUCUUCCUCGGUUCCGGCUCCCUGGCCUGAAGGCACAGAUAAACAGCGGUGGCCUUUGUGUGGUCCAAGGGGGCAAACCUGCAGCUGGUGGCGAAUAGCUCGCUGCCCUGCUGCUCUCCAUCCUAAUCGGCUCCCCUCAUCCUUCCCCAGGUUCGCUCCGGCUGCCGGUCCCCUCCAUCUACCCCAUGGCCGACGUUAAAGAAAUAAACACAUGAUGUGCUGAAUAGCUGACAUACAGAGGAAAUGCUACAGCUUGACGAUUGUUGCAGAACUACAUCAUUUUUAGGUAUUUAGUGUUCCUUUUGUGAUAGUUUUCUCUCCUAUAAAAGUAAAAUGAAUCAUUUUUAAUUCUUUGAACAAGGUUGCCAAAAGUAGGGCGCUCAGCCGUUGAGGCAUUAUCACAUUUUUAAGAAGCUUCGCAAAAUCUGCUCUUAUACUAAAGAAAUCUAAUGUAGGUUUGUUGGCUUUAUUGGGUACUGAUAUGCUGAACACAUGAUAUUAAAUAUAUAGUGAAGUGGGUAUGUUUAUACUAUCUACACAGGAUUGCCAUUUUCUUGAACUUUUGUUGGGAUUAUCAUGGAUUGGGAUGCAUUAUGAUAAUAAGAUAUUAGGUAUUGAUAUAUGAUCUGUAUGUCACACUUGACUUCAUCAUCCUUUGUUUUCAGAUCUAUUCUUUAGGCAUACACUAAUGUGGUAGCUUGGGUCAUAUUCUGUAGCUAAUUUAGUCACCACAAUACUCGGGUCCCCCCCCCACCCCGACUUUCAAUAUAAAGAACUUCCACUUGCCAUUUCACAUGAUAAACACUACAUUCUAUUUAUUUAUGGCCCAAAACUUAUUAUUUGUGGAUAGCCACAACUGAGGUCUUGAGUUUUUGAGUAUCAUAGAAGAACCACGUUCCUUUCGCAGCGAUAGAUCAACAUUUGACCCUUUUUUAGCUAUUAUAGGAAGACUAAGAUGCACAAAAUCAACCUGUGUUAGGCCAAUGGUCCUUUCCAAAUGUGAAAUCUUGCAUGCGUUAUUUAUCAAUUCCAAAAGGUGAUGGUUGUGUUAUUACGUUGGAAAAGAGGUACUUGUACAGUUUUGCUACUGAUUUUGACCAAGGGUUUUUCGGCUCUCAUCUCUAUAUGAAUAUGCUUUUUUCAGGUUAGUGGUUUAGGAGUUCCUGCCAACACUGGCUUUUGGAAUUUAUCCUCGCUUCAUCAGUUGGGAUUUCUGUACAAAACUAAGAUAAUUUAUUUUGGUGCUUGCGAUGAGUAUUAGAUAGAGGGGUGAUGCACACAUACUUCACCCAGUGUAUCUGUUCAUGUAUGUUGUUAAUUGACUAAUUAGACAAAAAACCUCUAUCUGUAUGGUGUUUGUGAUGAUGCUAUCAAUUCACCAAACACUAAAAUACCGGGUUGUGCUUUUCAAAUCUAGCAAAUUAAUUCUCUAUUGCUUCUUGU
rnacentral:lncRNA from 1 species